UACGUAGGGGGCAAGCGUUGUCCGGAAUUAUUGGGCGUAAAGAGCGUGUAGGCGGUCCGGUAAGUCAGCUGUGAAAGUCAAGGGCUCAACCCUCGAAUGCCGGUGGAUACUGUCGGACUAGAGUGCGGAAGAGGCGAGUGGAAUUCCUGGUGUAGCGGUGGAAUGCGCAGAUAUCAGGAGGAACACCAAUAGCGAAGGCAGCUCGCUGGGACGGUAUUGACGCUAAGGCGCGAAAGCGUGGGGGAGCAAACAGG
rnacentral:rRNA from 1 species